rnacentral:snRNA from 1 species
GUACUUGAUUUAGCAGAGCACAUACUAGAACUGGAAGGAUACAGAGAUGAGCACCGCCCCUGCCCAGGGAUGGCACACAAAUUCG